rnacentral:miRNA from 1 species
GUUUUAAUGUUCCAGUCUUCUCAUAUCCACACCUUUGCUUCCUUUACAGUGAACUGCACUAGCAGCAGCAGCAGCAACAGCAACAACAACAACAACAGCAGGGCAGCAGCAGCAA